rnacentral:rRNA from 1 species
UACGUAGGGCGCAAGCGUUAUCCGGAAUUAUUGGGCGUAAAGAGCUCGUAGGCGGCUUGUCGCGUCGACUGUGAAAUCCCGCGGCUCAACUGCGGGUCUGCAGUCGAUACGGGCAGGCUAGAGUUCGGUAGGGGAGACUGGAAUUCCUGGUGUAGCGGUGAAAUGUGCAGAUAUCAGGAGGAACACCGGUGGCGAAGGCGGGUCUCUGGGCCGAUACUGACGCUGAGGAGCGAAGUGUGGGGAGCGAACAGG